AGACGGACAGCUCUGACUCGCUCGCUCUUUCUCUGGGCGCCUGCGCGCCUACCAUGACAAGCCAUUUCAGGCGAGCCGAGCCCCAGAGCCAUGUGUCUGGUGCGCAGUGUUAACAGGGCAGUUAUACCUUUUACAGACAACUGUGGCUCCAAGUCAAGUAUGAACUUACACAAACAGUUUAUAUAACAAGUGGAGGUGUGCGCCUGCGUGCCAAACUUGCUGACUCGUGCAGGCCUGGAUACCCGCCUCAGACUAUUCCUUGACCGAAGCACUUCCAGGGCAGGAAACUGAAGCUCUUGGGAAGGUGGAAGUUGCACGUGGUCUCACAGUCAACUGUGCCAGAAUAGGAGGCCAGGAACCAUCUCUGCUGGAGGAAGACCCACCACGCAUCCCUUCAAGAAUGCCAAGGUCCAGAGCAAGUGCUUCCCUUCUAUGGGCACAGGAGGGCUGUGGGAGCCCACAGAAUGUGCUUCUGGCCAGAGUGGGAUCCCCGAGGAAGAUGUUAAGACCUCUAAUAAUAUUUAAGAGCAAAAUUAGCACAGCUCCAGCCCAUGGGCAAGUUAAGAGACAGGAGUAGUGUCUGUGGAGUGGAGGAAAGCAGAGGCUGCCGCUGACCAUCCUGCAGCCCUCGCUCUGGCUGCUCACAGCUCUCCACCUUCUCUGGACUUCGUCACUUCAGUAUGUGAAACAACCAUUUCAACCAGCUUGGACAAAAGAGAGAAGCCAAGAUGGGGCUGAGAAACCAAUGCAGGCAGGCCCAGGGACCCAGGAGUCAGGGACCAGGUGCUACCAGAUGCUUGCUCCGACUCGUGUUGCUGCUGUCUUCUCUGUGCCUCAACUCUGUCCUCUGUCACUGCAGGCAGCUUCCUCCCAAGGUGGAAGGUGAUAUAUCCCACCUCAUGAAAUCAGGCUUCACCACAAGAUUGCUUUGACCAAGGGGACGUGAGUAGAAGUUUGAAGAACCACAGACUGGUCCAUCACCUUGUUUCUUAUCCCUCUGACAUAAGCAAUGUCCCAGACUGGGGCUGUUCUGUUAGCCUGGCUUCCAGAAUGAAGAGAGCUGAUCUACAUGGCAUAUGUAAGAUAAAUAAACCUUUGUUAUUACAAACCACUGAAA
rnacentral:lncRNA from 1 species